rnacentral:rRNA from 1 species
GACAGAGAAUGCAAACGUUGUUCGGAAUUACUGGGCGUAAAGCGCGUGUAGGCGGCUAUGUAAGUCGGGCGUGAAAUCCCACGGCUCAACCGUGGAAGUGCACUCGAAACUGCGUAGCUAGAGUCCUGGAGAGGAAGGUGGAAUGCUUGGUGUAGAGGUGAAAUUCGUAGAUAUCAAGCAGAACACCGGUGGCGAAGACGGCCUUCUGGACAGUGACUGACGCUGAGACGCGAAAGCGUGAAAAGCAAACAGG